rnacentral:rRNA from 1 species
UGCCGCGUGAGGUGAUGAAGGCCUAUAGGGUUGUAAAGCUCUUUUACCCGGGAUGAUAAUGACAGUACCGGGAGAAUAAGCCCCGGCUAACUCCGUGCCAGCAGCCGCGGUAAUACGGAGGGGGCUAGCGUUAUUCGGAAUUACUGGGCGUAAAGCGCACGUAGGCGGCUUUGUAAGUAAGAGGUGAAAGCCCGGAGCUCAACUCCGGAACUGCCUUUUAGACUGCAUCGCUUGAAUCCAGGAGAGGUGAGUGGAAUUCCAAGUGUGGAGGUGAAAUUCAUAGAUCUUCGGAAGAACACCACUGGCGAAGGCGGCUCACUGGACUGGUAUUGACGCUAAGGUGCGAAAGCGUGGGGAGCAAACAGGAUUAGAUACCCUGGUAGGCCACGCCGUACACGAUGAUAACUAGCUGUCUGGGUGCUUGGCACUUAGGUGGCGCAGCUCACGCAUUAAGUUAUCCGCCUGGGGAGUACGGCCGCAAGGUUAAAACUCAAAUGAAUUGACAGGGGCCUGCACAACCGGUGGAGCAUGUGGCUUAAUUCUAAGCAACGCGCAGAACCUUAACAGCGUUUGACAUGUCCGGACGAUUUCCAGAGAUGGAUCUCUUCCCUUCC